AACGUAGGUUCCGAGCGUUAUCCGGAUUUACUGGGCGUAAAGCGCGUUCAGGCGGUUCGGCAAGUCGGGCAUGAAAUCUCUCGGCUCAACCGGGAGAGGUUGUCCGAUACUGUUGGACUUGAGGGCAGUAGAGGGUGGUGGAAUUCCGGGUGUAGCGGUGGAAUGCGUAGAGAUCCGGAAGAACACCGGUGGCUAAGGCGGCCUGCUGGGAUCUUGCUGACGCUGAGGCGCGACAGCGUGGGGAGCAAACAGG
rnacentral:rRNA from 1 species